rnacentral:rRNA from 1 species
UGGGGAAUAUUGCGCAAUGGGCGCAAGCCUGAUCCAGCAAUGCCGCGUGUGUGAAGAAGGCCUUCGGGUUGUAAAGCACUUUUAUCAGGAACGAAAAGCGGAGGGUUAAUACCCAUCCGUGCUGACGGUACCUGAGGAAUAAGCACCGGCUAACUUCGUGCCAGCAGCCGCGGUAAUACGAAGGGUGCAAGCGUUAAUCGGAAUUACUGGGCGUAAAGCGUGCGUAGAUGGCCGAUUAAGUCGGAUGUGAAAGCCCCGGGCUCAACCUGGGAACGGCAUCCGAUACUGGUGGGCUAGAGUGCGGUAGAGGAGAGCGGAAUUCCCGGUGUAGCGGUGAAAUGCGUAGAGAUCGGGGAGGAACAUCCGUGGCGAAGGCGGCUCACUGGAUCGGUACUGACGCUGAGGUGCGAAAGCG